UACGUAGGGCGCAAGCGUUGUCCGGAAUUAUUGGGCGUAAAGAGCUCGUAGGCGGCUUGUCACGUCGGGUGUGAAAGCCCGGGGCUUAACCCCGGGUCUGCAUUCGAUACGGGCUGGCUAGAGUGUGGUAGGGGAGAUCGGAAUUCCUGGUGUAGCGGUGAAAUGCGCAGAUAUCAGGAGGAACACCGAUGGCGAAGGCAGUUCUCUGGGCCGUAACUGACGCUGAGGAGCGAAAGCGUGGGGAGCGAACAGG
rnacentral:rRNA from 1 species